GGCCACACCACCCUGAACACACCCGAUUGCAUCUGAUCUCAGAAGCCAAGCAGGGUGGGGCCUGGUUAAUACUUGGAUGGGAGAC
rnacentral:rRNA from 1 species